CAAGUUUGGUUUUGGUAAUUAAUG
rnacentral:miRNA from 1 species